rnacentral:sRNA from 1 species
UGCUGAAAACAGUAGUGCUUUCCUUGAC